AGAGUUUUGAUCCUGGCUCAGAUUGAACGCUGGCGGCAUGCCUAACACAUGCAAGUCGAACGGCAGCACAGCAGAGCUUGCUCUUGUGGGUGGCGAGUGGCGGACGGGUGAGUAAUGCAUCGGGACCUACCCAGACGUGGGGGAUAACGUAGGGAAACUUACGCUAAUACCGCAUACGUCCUACGGGAGAAAGCAGGGGACCUUCGGGCCUUGCGCGGUUGGACGGACCGAUGUGCGAUUAGCUAGUUGGUAGGGUAAUGGCCUACCAAGGCGACGAUCGCUAGCUGGUCUGAGAGGAUGAUCAGCCACACUGGGACUGAGACACGGCCCAGACUCCUACGGGAGGCAGCAGUGGGGAAUAUUGGACAAUGGGCGCAAGCCUGGAUCCAGCAAUGCCGCGUGUGUGAAGAAGGCCCUCGGGUUGUAAAGCACUUUUAUCAGGAACGAAAUACCACGGGUUAAUACCCUAUGGGGCUGACGGUACCUGAAGGAAUAAGCACCGGCUAACUUCGUGCCAAGCAGCCGCGGUAAUACGAAGGGUGCAAGCGUUAAUCGGAAUUACUGGGCGUAAAGGGUGCGUAAGGCGGUUCGUUAAGUCUGUCGUGAGAA
rnacentral:rRNA from 1 species